UCCUAGCUCCUAGAAUGGGGUAUACGUCA
rnacentral:piRNA from 1 species